AUUGAACGCUGGCGGCAUGCUUUACACAUGCAAGUCGAACGGUAACAGGCCUUCGGGUGCUGACGAGUGGCGAACGGGUGUGUAAUGCAUCGGAACGUACCCAGAGGUGGGGGAUAACGCAGCGAAAGCUGUGCUAAUACCGCAUGUGAUCUGAGGAUGAAAGCGGGGGACCGAGCAGCAAUGUUUGGCCUCGCGCCUUUGGAGCGGCCGAUGUCGGAUUAGCUAGUUGGUGGGGUAAAGGCCUACCAAGGCGACGAUCCGUAGCUGGUCUGAGAGGACGACCAGCCACACUGGGACUGAGACACGGCCCAGACUCCUACGGGAGGCAGCAGUGGGGAAUUUUGGACAAUGGGCGCAAGCCUGAUCCAGCAAUGCCACGUGCGGGAAGAAGGCCUUCGGGUUGUAAACCGCUUUUGGCAGGAACGAAACGGUGUCCGCUAAUACCGGGCGCUAAUGACGGUACCUGCAGAAUAAGCACCGGCUAACUACGU
rnacentral:rRNA from 1 species